rnacentral:rRNA from 1 species
AUACGUAGGGGGCGAGCGUUGUCCGGAAUUACUGGGCGUAAAGGGUGCGUAGGCGGAUAUGCAAGUCCGAUGUGAAAUGUUACGGCUUAACCGUGGAGUUGCAUUGGAAACUGUGUAUCUAGAGUGCAGGAGAGGGAAGCGGAAUUCCUAGUGUAGCGGUGAAAUGCGUAGAUAUUAGGAGGAACACCAGUGGCGAAGGCGGCUUCCUGGACUGCAACUGACGCUGAGGCACGAAAGCUGGGGUAGCGAACAGGAUUAGAUACCCUGGUAGUCCCAGCCUUAAACGAUGGGUACUAGGUGUUGUCACUUCAUUGUGGCAGUGCCGGAGUUAACGCAAUAAGUACCCCGCCUGGGGAGUACGGCCGCAAGGCUGAA